AUGGUAGAAGUGGGACAACUUGGAUCCCUGAAUGACCGUGUGGACCAGAGGCUUCCACCGUACCGCAGCACAAGCUCUCCUCUGAAGCGCUACCUCUGGAUGAAAGCACGGCGGUUACCAAGGACGGCGGAGGAGAUAUACACUUUCAGGAAGGUGGCAGAAAAGGGAAAAAAAAAAAUCUGUGUAUGUCCACCUGCACAGACCAGGAACUGCAGAAGCACAUGCCUCCCCUGUGUAACCUUGGAGGAGAGGCCCUCCUGGCAAGUGCCGCCCAUCAUCCAUCAGCCGCUGGAUUGCAAGGGAUGAGGGAGCCCAGGUACACGACUGAAUGGGGUGCCACAAUCACCUGUUGCUUAAACAGGAUUUGAAGAGGAGAGACACAAAUGAAGAACUUUAAUACUUGGCUUGUGGCAGAUCAACAUGGGAGAGAAAGAGAAAAAAAAUCCGGAGUUCAGAAAGAUAAGAAAAGUGAAUCAGCCGGUUACCAGCAUAUUUUCAACUAAGCGUUUGAGUCACAUUAUUUAGAUAUUGCAUCUCAAGGACUGAGUUGAUUUCUUUUUAUGAAAAAAUAUGUUUUAAUUGAAAUCAUAAGCAGAAAUGUGUCCCUUUAAAGCAGAAUAUAAAGGAAAUUAAAGUAGAAGGUACAAGAGGGUUUUUCCUCUUUCCCCUUUCCCCCUAGAGGGAAGGACCAUCUAAAUUUCCUUUGUUUGUUUACUCAUUUUGUUUUAUCAAGACAAGUUGUGCAUCAUGUUUGU
rnacentral:lncRNA from 1 species